CCUAUGCUGGGGGAUAACCUCGGGAAACUGAGAAUAAUACCCCAUAGUUCACCACGCCUGGAACGGUGGUGGACCAAAGCUCCGGCGGCAUAGGAUGGGCCUGCGGCGUAUCAGGUUGUAGGGGGUGUAAUGUACCCUCUAGCCCUCUACGCGUACGGGUGUUGAGAGACAUCGCCCGGAGAUGGAUUCUGAGACACGAAUCCAGACCCUACGGGGUGCAGCAGGCGCGAAAACUUGGCAAUGCGAGAAAUCGUGACCAGGGAACUCCAAGUGCAUCGGGUAAGACCGAUGCUUUUCUUGACUCUUCAAAGGUCUUGGAAUAAGGGGUGGGUAAGGACGGUGCCAGCCGCCGCGGUAAUACCGGCGCCCCAAGUGGUAGUCGCUUUUAUUGGGCCUAAAACGUCCGUAGCCGGUCUGGUACAUUCGUGGGUAAAUCAACCAGCUCAACUGGUUGAAUUCUGCGAGCACGGCCAGACUUGGGACCGGGAGAGGUGUGGGGUACUCUCAGGGUAGGGGUAAAAUCCUGUCAUCCUGAGAGGACCACCUGUUGCGAAGGCGCCACACUAGAACGGAUCCGACGGUCAGGGACGAAGCCUAGGGGCACGAACCGGAUUAGAUACCCGGGUAGUCCUAGGUGUAAACGCUGUGGACUUGAUGUUGGGGGCGCUCCGAGCGCACUCAGUGUCGAAGCGAAGGUGAUAAGUCCACUGCCUGGGGAGUACGGUCGCAAGGCUGAAACUUAAAGGAAUUGGCGGGGGAGCACCGCAACCUGAGGAUUGUGCGGUUUAAUUGGAUCAACGCCGGG
rnacentral:rRNA from 1 species